AAGGACAUCUGUUCACAUCUUACCGGGCAGCAUUAGAUUUUGUACUAUAGAUAUCUCUAAUACUGUCAGGUAAAGAUGUCGUCCGUGUCCUU
rnacentral:pre_miRNA from 1 species